GAUGAACGCUGGCGGCGCGCCUAAUACAUGCAAGUCGAGCGAACGGACGAGAAGCUUGCUUCUCUGAUGUUAGCGGCGGACGGGUGAGUAACACGUGGAUAACCUACCUAUAAGACUGGGAUAACUUCGGGAAACCGGAGCUAAUACCGGAUAAUAUUUUGAACCGCAUGGUUCAAAAGUGAAAGACGGUCUUGCUGUCACUUAUAGAUGGAUCCGCGCUGCAUUAGCUAGUUGGUAAGGUAACGGCUUACCAAGGCAACGAUGCAUAGCCGACCUGAGAGGGUGAUCGGCCACACUGGAGCUGAGACACGGUCCAGACUCCUACGGGAGGCAGCAGUAGGGAAUCUUCCGCAAUGGGCGAAAGCCUGACGGAGCAACGCCGCGUGAGUGAUGAAGGUCUUCGGAUCGUAAAACUCUGUUAUUAGGGAAGAACAUAUGUGUAAGUAACUGUGCACAUCUUGACGGUACCUAAUCAGAAAGCCACGGCUAACUACGU
rnacentral:rRNA from 1 species